rnacentral:sRNA from 1 species
AAGGGCGACGAGUUCGCGCAUCGUGACCUUGUUUUCGGGAUGCGGCAGCCCCGUGGCAUUCUUGAAGGUGGCGACCGGCAGCCCGAGAUCGCGU